CAAUAGCGUAUAUUAAAGUUGUUGCGGUUAAAAAGCUCGUAGUUGGAUUUCUGUCGAGGGUGGCCGGUCCGCAUUUUGUGCGUGUAUCAGGUUCGGUCUUGGCAUCCUCUUGGGGACCGUUACUGUGCUUGAUUGCAUGGGGCGGGAUUCAAGACUUUUACUUUGAGGAAAUUAGAGUGUUCACGGCAAGCUGUCGCUUUGAAUACAUUAGCAUGGAAUAAUAAUAUAGGGCGUAAGUCUUAUUUUGUUGGUUUCUAGGAUCUACGCAAUGAUGAAUAGGGAUAAUUGGGGGCAUUCGUAUUAACACGUCAGAGGUGGAAUUCUUAGAUUGUGUUACGACGAACUACUGCGAAAGCAUUUACCAAGGGUGUUUUCAUUGAUCAAGAACGAAAGUAUGGGGAUCGAAGAUGAUCAGAUACCAU
rnacentral:rRNA from 1 species